rnacentral:rRNA from 1 species
UACGGGAUAACACCUGGAAACAGAUGCUAAUACCGGAUAACAACAGAUGAUGCCUAUCAACUGUUUAAAAGAUGGUUCUGCUAUCACUCUUGGAUGGACCUGCGGUGCAUUAGCUAGUUGGUAGGGUAACGGCCUACCAAGGCGAUGAUGCAUAGCCGAGUUGAGAGACUGAUCGGCCACAUUGGGACUGAGACACGGCCCAAACUCCUACGGGAGGCAGCAGC